rnacentral:rRNA from 1 species
UACGUAGGUGUCAAGCGUUGUCCGGAUUUAUUGGGUUUAAAGGGUGCGUAGGCGGUCUUCUAAGUCAGUUGUGAAAUACUUCAGCUUAACUGGAGAGGUGCAAUUGAUACUGGAAGACUUGAGUACUGAUGAGGUAGGCGGAAUGGACGGUGUAGCGGUGAAAUGCUUAGAUAUCGUAAGGAAGACCAGUGGCGAAGGCGGGUCUCUGGACAGUUCCUGACGCUGAGGCACGAAGGUCAGGGGAGCAAACGGG